UUUCUGUAGGUGAACCUGCGGAAGGAUCAUUCAUAAUAAAGUGUUUUAUGGCACUUUUUAAAAAUCCAUAUCCACCUUGUGUGCAAUGUUAGAUCUCGUCAAUCUUGGCGAGAUUUUUAUACAUCAACUCAUUCUUUAACUAAUUUGUCUGAAAAAUAUUAUGAAUACUUAAUUCAAAAUACAACUUUCAACAACGGAUCUCUUGGCUCUC
rnacentral:misc_RNA from 1 species